UGGGGAAUCUUCCGCAAUGGACGAAAGUCUGACGGAGCAACGCCGCGUGUAUGAUGAAGGUCUUCGGAUUGUAAAGUACUGUCAUUGGGGAAGAACGGUUUUCUUGAGAAUAUUGAGAAGACAUGACGGUACCCAAGGAGGAAGCCCCGGCUAACUACGUGCCAGCAGCCGCGGUAAUACGUAGGGGGCAAGCGUUGUCCGGAAUUAUUGGGCGUAAAGGGCGCGUAGGCGGGCCUUUAAGUCCGGUGUGAAAGAUCAGGGCUCAACCCUGAGAGUGCAUCGGAAACUGGAGGCCUUGAGGACAGGAGAGGAAAGUGGAAUUCCACGUGUAGCGGUGAAAUGCGUAGAUAUGUGGAGGAACACCAGUGGCGAAGGCGACUUUCUGGACUGUAACUGACGCUGAGGCGCGAAAGCGUGGGGAGCAAACAGGAUUAGAUACCCUGGUAGUCCACGCCGUAAACGAUGAGUGCUAGGUGUAGAGGGUAUCGACCCCCUUCUGUGCCGCAGUUAACACAAUAAGCACUCCCGCCUGGGGAGUACGGCCGCAAGGGUUGAAACUCAAAGGAAUUGACGGGGGUCAUAGCUGUUUUUCCCU
rnacentral:rRNA from 1 species